rnacentral:rRNA from 1 species
GAUGAACGCUAGCGGGAGGCCUAACACAUGCAAGCCGAGCGGUAUUUGUUCUUCGGAACAGAGAGAGCGGCGCACGGGUGCGGAACACGUGUGCAACCUGCCUUUAUCUGGGGGAUAGCCUUUCGAAAGGAAGAUUAAUACCCCAUAAUAUAUUGAGUGGCAUCAUUUGAUAUUGAAGACUCCGGUGGAUAGAGAUGGGCACGCGCAAGAUUAGAUAGUUGGUGAGGUAACGGCUCACCAAGUCAAUGAUCUUUAGGGGGCCUGAGAGGGUGAUCCCCCACACUGGUACUGAGACACGGACCAGACUCCUACGGGAGGCAGCAGUGAGGAAUAUUGGACAAUGGGUUAGCGCCUGAUCCAGCCAUCCCGCGUGAAGGACGACGGCCCUAUGGGUUGUAAACUUCUUUUGUAUAGGGAUAAACCUACUCUCGUGAGAGUAGCUGAAGGUACUAUACGAAUAAGCACCGGCUAACUCCGUG